UCGUCCACCUCCUCGUCCGUGAAGCGGUCUCCCAUCGUCGUCAGCAGCUCCCGCAGGUAGUCCUCCUGGAUGGUGCCUGGAGGGCAGCAGAAAGCGGGGAGUCACGAACACCUCCUAACCCCGAAUGGUUCGUUUCUAAGCUAGAGACGUAAAGGAAAACAAAAAGGCAGCUGCCCAGAAAAACAGAUAACGCCGCCAAGACCAAACGUGCUGGAGGGGCAGCGCAUUUGUGACAGGUCUGGAGACCGAGCAGGAAGAAGGGUGCAAGGUGCAUCUGAGGAGGCUGAGAACCAAAUUCAAAGACACCACCAACUGGGGAGCUUUAUGACCCGCAUACCUGUGACCCACCCAUGCUCGUUCAUACUAUCCUACUAUAAAUGAUAGUUUAUUCAUUUUUUUAAAGUUAUAUUUUACUCAACAAAAAAGGGGGGUGUCUGGGUGGCUCAG